CACAGCGCCUCCCUGCCUCUCCUGAGGGCUGUGGGGGAGCGGUGCGGCCCCUGUGCCUUCAUCAUGACCUCUCCUCCCCCCGCAUCAACUUCCCUCCACCCUUUAGGCGAACAGCAUGGACAGGACAGAGAUCAGUGUAACACAGGAGGGACAGGACAGAUGUCAGUGUAACAUAGGGGGGACAGGACAGAGAUCAGUGUAACACAGGGGGGACAGGACAGAGAUCAGUGUAACACAGGGGGACAGGACAGAGAUCAGUGUAACACAGGGGGACAGACAGAGAUCAGUGUAACACAGGGGAGACAGGACAGACAUCAGUGUAACACAGGGGGACAGGACAGAGAUCAGUGUAACACAGGGGGACAGGACAGAGAUCAGUGUAACACAAGAGGGACAGGACAGAGAUCAGUGUAACACAGGGGGACAGGACAGACAUCAGUGUAACACAGGGGGACAGGACAGAUGUCAGUGUAACACAGGAGGACAGGACAGAGAUCAGUGUAACACAGGAGGGACAGGACAGAGGUCAGUGUAACACAGGGGGACAGGACAGACAUCAGUGUAACAUAGGGGGGACAGGACAGAGAUCAGUGUAACACAGGGGGGACAGGACAGAGGUCAGUGUAACACAGGGGGACAGGACAGACGUCAGUGUAACACAGGGGGACAGGACAGAGAUCAGUGUAACACAGGGGGACAGGACAGAGAUCAGUGUAACACAGGGGGGACAGGACAGAGAUCAGUGUAACACAGGAGGGGCAGGACAGAGGUCAGUGUAACACAGGAGGACAGGACAGAGAUCAGUGUAACACAGGAGGGACAGGACAGACGUCAGUGUAACACAGGGACAGGACAGAGAUCAGUGUAACACAGGGGGACAGGACAGAGAUCAGUGUAACACAGGAGGACAGGACAGACAUCAGUGUAACACAGGGGGACAGGACAGACAUCAGUGUAACACAGGGGGACAGGACAGACGUCAGUGUAACACAGGGGGACAGGACAGAGAUCAGUGUAACACAGGAGGACAGGACAGACAUCAGUGUAACACAGGAGGGACAGGACAGAGAUCAGUGUAACACAGGGGGACAGGACAGAGGUCAGUGUGACACAGGAGGGACAGGACAGACAUCAGUGUAACACAGGGGGACAGGACAGAGAUCAGUGUAACACAGGGGGACAGGACAGAGAUCAGUGUAACACAGGGGGGACAGGACAGAGGUCAGUGUAACACAGGGGGACAGGACAGAGGUCAGUGUAACACAGGGGGACAGGACAGAGAUCAGUGUAACACAGGGACAGGACAGACAUCAGUGUAACACAGGGGGACAGGACAGACGUCAGUGUAACACAGGAGGGACAGGACAGAGAUCAGUGUAACACAGGGGGACAGGACAGACGUCAGUGUAACACAGGGGGACAGGACAGACAUCAGUGUAACACAGGGGGACAGGACAGAGAUCAGUGUAACACAGGGGGACAGGACAGAGAUCAGUGUAGCACAGGCAGGCAUUCUUGCAAAGCAGGGUAAGCUGUUAACGGGACGCACGUAUCAGUGUUCGAGGCUCAGCUGCUCCGCUCCCAAUCUAGCUUCCUGCAGAUAGGCCUGGGGUGCAGUGGAUGAUGGCCCGAGUAUUUGGGUGCCUUAUCCCUAAGUAAGGGACAUGUGUGGAGUUCCAGGCUCCUGGCUUCAGCCUGACCAAACUCCAGCUUUUGCAGGCAUUUGGGGAGUAAAGCAGCAGAUGGAAGAUUUCUUUUGCUGUCCUUCUCACUCCCUCUGUCCCUCAGUCUUUAAAUAACUAUUUUUAAGAAACGAGAGAUCAGUGUUGUAUACUAUGCUUCUGGAAAUCAGAUUGUGUUUCCUGAAAGUCUUUACAAUAGAAUCAGACACAACAUGUGGGCAGAGGGACAGCAGGCAGAUGCUAUAGCGGAGUGGCGCUGGGGGCCAGCAUUGUGGCAUGGCAGGUGAACACUGCAUCCCGAAGGAGCCCUGGUUCAAACCCAGCUGCUCCACUCCAAAUCAGCUCCCUGCUAGUGCACCUGGGAAAGCAGUGGAGGACGGCCCAGGUGCUUGGGCCCCGCACCCAUGUGGGAGACCCGGACGGAGUUCCUGGCUCCUGGCCCAGGGCCUGCUCUUGUGGCCAUUUGGGAAGUGAAUAAGCAGAUGGUAGAUCUUGCUCUCUCUCUCUCUGUCUCUGUCUCUCCCCUCACUCCUCUUUCCCUCCUCUCUCCAUUACGCUACCUUUCAAACAAAUAAAUAUAAUAUAUAAAAAAAAAAAAAAAAAA